AUACGUAGGUGGCAAGCGUUGUCCGGAAUUAUUGGGCGUAAAGCGCGCGCAGGUGGGAUCUUAAGUCCAUUUUUAAAGUUCGGAGCUCAACUCCGUGAUGGGAUGGAAACUGGGAUUCUUGAGUAUCGGAGAGGAAAGCGGAAUUCCCCGUGUAGCGGUGAAAUGCGUAGAUAUGGGGAGGAACACCAGUGGCGAAGGCGGCUUUCUGAACGAUGUCUGACACUGAGGCGCGAAAGCUAGGGGAGC
rnacentral:rRNA from 1 species